UCCCUGGUGGUCCAGUGGUUAGGACUCAGCACUUUGGCUGCUGAGGCCUGGGUUCAAUCCCUGACCUGGGAA